CCUACGGGUGGCAGCAGUGAGGAAUAUUGGUCAAUGGCCGAGAGGCUGAACCAGCCAAGCCGCGUGAGGGAAGACGGCCCUACGGGUUGUAAACCGCUUUUGUCGGGGGGCAAACCGAGUCACGUGUGACUCAUUGAGAGUACCCGAAGAAAAAGCAUCGGCUAACUCCGUGCCAGCAGCCGCGGUAAUACGGAGGAUGCGAGCGUUAUCCGGAUUUAUUGGGUUUAAAGGGUGCGCAGGCGGAGUUGAAAGUUAGCGGUAAAAUGUCGGGGCUAAACCCCGCACUGCCGUUAAAACUGCAUCCCUUGAGAGCGUGAGCAGUAGGCGGAAUGUGUGGUGUAGCGGUGAAAUGCAUAGAUAUCACGCAGAACUCCGAUUGCGAAGGCAGCAUACCGGCGUGUAACUGACGCUCAUGCACGAAAGCGUGGGUAUCGAACAGGAUUAGAUACCCUUGUAGUC
rnacentral:rRNA from 1 species